rnacentral:rRNA from 1 species
ACUCCUGCGGGAGGCAGCAGUGGGGAAUAUUGGACAAUGGGCGCAAGCCUGAUCCAGCCAUGCCGCGUGAGUGAUGAAGGCCCUAGGGUUGUAAAGCUCUUUCACCGGUGAAGAUAAUGACGGUAACCGGAGAAGAAGCCCCGGCUAACUUCGUGCCAGCAGCCGCGGUAAUACGAAGGGGGCUAGCGUUGUUCGGAUUUACUGGGCGUAAAGCGCACGUAGGCGGACUAUUAAGUCAGGGGUGAAAUCCCGGGGCUCAACCCCGGAACUGCCUUUGAUACUGGUAGUCUUGAGUUCGAGAGAGGUGAGUUGAAUUCCGAGAGUAGAGGUGAAAUUCGUAGAUAUUCGGAGGAACACCAGUGGCGAAGGCGGCUCACUGGCUCGAUACUGACGCUGAGGUGCGAAAGCGUGGGGAGCAAACAGGAUUAGAAACCCUGGUAGUCCCAUGAU